GAUGAACGCUGGCGGCGUGCCUAACACAUGCAAGUCGAGCGAACAGAUGCGGAUCUUGCUCCUCUGACGUUAGCGGCGGACGGGAGUGUAACACGUGGAUAACCUACUUAUAAGUCUGGGAUAACUUCGGGAAACCGGAGCUAAUCCCGGAUAAUAUAUUGAUCCGCAGGGUUCAAUAGUGAAUGUCGGUUUUUCUGGCACUUAUCGAUGGAUACGCGCCGCAUUGGCUGGUUGGUAAGGUACCGGCCUAUGAAGGGAAGGAGGCGUAGCCGAGGGGAGAGGGUGAUAGCCAACCUGGGAGCGGGAACGGGUACAAGGCGCCUGGGGGAGGCAGCAGAGGGAAUCUUCCGCAAAGGGCGAAAGCCUGACGGAGCAACGCCGCGUGAGUGAUGAAGGUCUUCGGAUCGGAAAACUCUGUUAUUAGGGAAGAACAAAUGUGUAAGUAACUAUGCACGUCUUGACGGUACCUAAGCAGAAAGCCACGGCUAACUACGUG
rnacentral:rRNA from 1 species